GCGAGAAUAUUCGACAAUGGACGAAAGUCUGAUCGAGCGACGCCGCGUGUACGAUGAAGUUUUUCGGAAUGUAAAGUACUUUUAUGAGGGAAGAACGUUGACGGUACCUCAUGAAUAAGUGGUUGCUAACUCUGUGCCAGCAGCAGCGGUAAUACAGAGACCACAAGCGUUAUCCGGAAUUAUUGGGCGUAAAGGGUGAGUAGGUGGUAUUGUUAGUCGGGUUUGAAAGAUCGUGGGCUCAACCCAUGAUAUGGACCCGAAACGGCAAAACUAGAAUAUGUAAGAGGUUAGUGGAACUAUAUGUGUAGGGGUAAAAUCCGUUGAUAUAUAUGGGAACACCUACAGCGAAGGCAGCUAACUGGUACAUUAUUGACACUGAAUCACGAAAGCGUGGGUAGCGAUACGGAUUAGAUACCCUUGUAGUCCCUGAGCGGGCUGGCAAGGCGCAU
rnacentral:rRNA from 1 species